rnacentral:rRNA from 1 species
AGGAUGAACGCUGGCGGCGUGCCUAACACAUGCAAGUCGAACGUCCUGUCUCGCAAGAGGCAGGGAGUGGCGGACGGGUGAGUACCACGUGGGUUAUCUACCGUGAGGUGAGGAAUACCGGCGAGAAAUCGCCGACAAGACCGCAUAGCCUCGGUGCAAGCCGAGCAAAGCUCUUUCGAGAGAGGGAGCGCCACACGAGGAGCCUGCGCCCGAUUAGCUAGCUGGUGGAGUAACGGUUCACCAGGGCGACGAUCGGUAGCUGGUCUGAGAGGACGAUCAGCCGACACUGGGAUUGAGAACGGCCCAGACUCCUACGGGGGGCAGCAGUGAGGAAUUUUCGUCAAUGGGGGCAACCCUGAACGAGCAACGCCGCGUGCAGGAAGAAGGUUUUCGGAUCGUAAACUGACUUUUUCUCGGGGAAGAGAACGGACGGUACCCGAGGAAUCAGCCCCGGCUAACUACGUGCCAGCAGCCGCGGU